rnacentral:rRNA from 1 species
AUUGAACGCUGGCGGUAUGCUUAACACAUGCAAGUCGAACGGCAGCAUGGUCUAGCUUGCUAGACUGAUGGCGAAUGGCGGACGGGUGAGUAACGCGUAGGAAUAUGCCUUGAAGAGUGGGACAACUUGGGGAAACUCAAGCUAAUACCGCAUGUACUCGAGAGAGUAAAGCCGGGGACCUUUAGGCCUGGCCCUUUAAGAUUAGCCUGCGUCCGAUUAGCUAUGUGGUAGGGUAAAGGCCUACCAAGGCGACGAUCGGUAGCUGGUCUGAGAGGAUGGUCAGCCACACUGGAACUGAGAGACGGUCCAGACUCCUACGGGAGGCAGCAGUGGGGAAUAUUGGACAAUGGGGGGAACCCUGAUCCAGCAAUGCCGCGUGUGUGAAGAAGGCCUGAGGGUUGUAAAGCACUUUCAGUGGGGAGGAGGUUUGGAAGGUUAAGAGCUAUUCAAAUGGACGUUACCCACAGAAGAAGCACCGGCUAACUCCGUGCCAGCCGCCGCCGUAA